GAUGAAGAACGCAUCGAAAUGCGAUAAGUAAUGUGAAUUGCAGAAUUCAGUGAAUCAUCGAAUCUUUGAACGCACAUUGCGCCCAUUAGCAUUCUAGUGGGCAUGCCUGUUCGAGCGUCAUUUCAACCCUUAAGCCCUGUUGCUUAGCGUUGGGAGCCUACAGUACUGUAGCUCCCCAAAGUUAGUGGCGGAGUCGGUUUCACACUCUAGACGUAGUAAAUUUUUCUCGUCUGUAGUUGAGCCGGUCCCCUGCCGUAAAACACCCAAUUUAUCAAGGUUGACCUCGGAUCAGGUAGGAAUACCCGCUGAACUUAAGCAUAUCAAUAAGCGGAGGA
rnacentral:misc_RNA from 1 species